UAGCAUCACACAAUAUUCUCAUAGAGGAGUACUAUGUUCUCCAUUUACAUGUGAAAAUGUAGGUGAAAUAGGUCCUUUCUAUCUAUGUGGUAAAUAUCUGUUACUUUAUACAAAGACUUUGUCGGGGUAAAUUGCCAUGGCUAAGAAAUUUUACAAGUCCAUCCAUCACUCUAUGUGAAACUUCAAUAAGUUUAUAGAUUCCAUGUUCCAGUAUUAAUUAAGUUCCAGAUCACUGCUCAUUAAAUUCAUUUUCUGCCACUGUCUAGCACAGAAAUUAUGCAGAAUAUAACAAUUUAUUCAGGUCCUACUGUGAUCCUUCACAGGCAACUUAAGCUGGACAAAUUUGCAACAUCAGCUGUCCUAGCAUUACCUAAUCCAACCUCCUAAGGGUGCAUACUGUAACCUGGUAUUUGGAACAUGUGUGAUUGUCCUUGCUGUCAUACCACCUCUUCUCAUUUUAGUAAUUUCACCUGCACUUGGACCUUUGAAAUUCUCUCUAUCACACUCACAUGCACGCACAGCCAAAUUUUGUUCUAGACAGACUGGGAUAUCAUCCAAACAAAUAGCUGUUGUGGAAACAAC